rnacentral:tmRNA from 1 species
GGGGGCGUAAAGGUUUCGACGGGGAUUUCACGGCAGGAUAAGCGAGCAGAGGAUGGGGCAACCUCUUUAAACGGCUCCAAAAAAAUAAACGCUAACGAAGAAGUAGCACUCGCUGCCUAAUGGCAGUACGCCGCAUAGAGCGGCUCGUUCGCCCGGAGGGGACCGCGACUCCGGAGCGGGCGUCAUAACCGCGGUGAACAUGAGCCGACUCCACGCAUCCGGGACGGCCAUGCACAAGGAUGCUACCUGAGCCGGGGCGCGUUUACCCGCACCGGCAAGGGGAAAUAAAAAAAGGUAAACUGCGCUCGGAGAAGGUCCUGUCUCGGAGUUUUCGGACAGGGGUUCGAUUCCCCUCGCCUCCAUUC